AUUGAACGCUGGCGGCAGGCCUAACACAUGCAAGUCGAGCGGAUGAAGGGAGCUUGCUCCUGGAUUCAGCGGCGGACGGGUGAGUAAUGCCUAGGAAUCUGCCUGGUAGUGGGGGAUAACGUCCGGAAACGGGCGCUAAUACCGCAUACGUCCUGAGGGAGAAAGUGGGGGAUCUUCGGACCUCACGCUAUCGGAUGAGCCUAGGUCGGAUUAGCUAGUUGGUGGGGUAAAGGCCUACCAAGGCGACGAUCCGUAACUGGUCUGAGAGGAUGAUCAGUCACACUGGAACUGAGACAAGGUCCAGACCCCUACGGGAGGCAGCAGUGGGGAAUAUUGGAACAUUGGCGAAAGCCUGAUCCAGCCCUGCCGCGUGUGUGAAGAAGGUCUUCGGAUUUUAAAGCACUUUAAGUUGGGAGGAAGGGCAGUAAGUUAAUACCUUGCUGUUUUGACGUUACCAACAGAAUAAGCACCGGCUAACUUCGUG
rnacentral:rRNA from 1 species